AGUGAACGCUGGCGGUAGGCCUAACACAUGCAAGUCGAACGGCAGCACAGUAAGAGCUUGCUCUUACGGGUGGCGAGUGGCGGACGGGUGAGGAAUACAUCGGAAUCUACUUUUUCGUGGGGGAUAACGUAGGGAAACUUACGCUAAUACCGCAUACGACCUACGGGUGAAAGCAGGGGAUCUCCGGACCUUGCGCGAUUGAAUGAGCCGAUGUCGGAUUAGCUAGUUGGCGGGGUAAAGGCCCACCAAGGCGACGAUCCGUAGCUGGUCUGAGAGGAUGAUCAGCCACACUGGAACUGAGACACGGUCCAGACUCCUACGGGAGGCAGCAGUGGGGAAUAUUGGACAAUGGGCGCAAGCCUGAUACAGCCAUACCGCGUGGGUGAAGAAGGCCUUCGGGUUGUAAAGCCCUUUUGUUGGGAAAGAAAAGCAGCAGGUUAAUACCCCGCUGUUCUGACGGUACCCAAAGAAUAAGCACCGGCUAACUUCGUG
rnacentral:rRNA from 1 species